rnacentral:rRNA from 1 species
UACGGAGGGGGCUAGCGUUGUUCGGAAUUACUGGGCGUAAAGAGCGCGCAGGCGGUCGUUCAAGUCGCGUGUGAAAGCCCCCGGCUCAACUGGGGAGGGUCACGCGAUACUGAUCGACUCGAAGGCAGGAGAGGGAAGUGGAAUUCCCGGUGUAGUGGUGAAAUGCGUAGAUAUCGGGAGGAACACCAGUGGCGAAGGCGACUUCCUGGCCUGUUCUUGACGCUGAGGCGCGAAAGCUAGUGGAGCAAACGGG